rnacentral:lncRNA from 1 species
CUCGGGAACCAAGUCAUCCUGAUUUGAAAUGGUUAAAUAAAGAAUGAGGUAUAGUAGCCCAAUAAGGACAUCACACUAUUUACCGUCACAUAAAUAAAGGUUGAUAGAAAAUCAAAAACAACCAAUGGAGCAUAAUUUUUAAACAAAUUCAUUUUUUAAAAAUCAAACCAUUGCCUCAGUGAGAUUUAUAAAAAACGACCCAUAG